rnacentral:tRNA from 1 species
GGGCCCAUAGCUCAGUGGCAGAGCAGGCGGCUCAUAACCGCUCGGUCGUAGGUUCGACCCCUACUGGGCCCA